UACGGGGGGAGCAAGCGUUGUUCGGAUUUACUGGGCGUAAAGGGCGCGUAGGCGGCCACCGCAAGUCGACUGUGAAAUCUCCGGGCUUAACUCGGAACGGUCAAGUGAUACUGUCGGACUAGAGUACAGAAGGGGCAACUGGAAUUCUCGGUGUAGCGGUGAAAUGCGUAGAUAUCGAGAGGAACACCUGCGGCGAAGGCGGGUUGCUGGGCUGAUACUGACGCUGAGGAGCGAAAGCGUGGGGAGCAAACAGG
rnacentral:rRNA from 1 species